rnacentral:rRNA from 1 species
GACGUAGGGCGCGAGCGUUGUCCGGAUUUAUUGGGCGUAAAGAGCUCGUAGGCGGCUUGUCGCGUCGACUGUGAAAACCCGCGGCUCAACCGCGGGCCUGCAGUCGAUACGGGCAGACUUGAGUUCGGUAGGGGAGACUGGAAUUCCCAGUGUAGCGGUGAAAUGCGUAGAUAUUGGGAGGAACACCAGUGGCGAAGGCGGCCACCUG